UACGAAGGGGGCUAGCGUUGUUCGGAAUUAUUGGGCGUAAAGCGCACGUAGGCGGCUAUCUAAGUCGGAUGUGAAAUCCCUCGGCUUAACCAAGGAAGUGCACCCGAAACUGGAUAGCUUGAGUACAGAAGAGGAUCGCGGAAUUCCCGGUGUAGAGGUGAAAUUCGUAGAUAUCGGGAGGAACACCAGUGGCGAAGGCGGCGAUCUGGGCUGAUACUGACGCUGAGGUGCGAAAGCGUGGGGAGCAAACAGG
rnacentral:rRNA from 1 species